UAGCCAUGCACGUCUAAGUACAAACUAAAUGAUGGUGAAACUGCAAAUGGCUAACAACGGUUAUGAUGUACCCGGGAGUUCCGAUGGAUAUUUUCAGAAACACUAGAGCUAAUACAUGCUCCUGCGUUUAUUAGUUUCGCACAGUCCGUCGCUGAGUCAUGGUAAACAGUUGAUCGACUCGACGUCCCGGAACAGUUUCCGCACCAUCAGCUUCGAUGGUUGGGUAUUGGCCUACCAUUGCAACAACGGGUAACGAGGAAUUAGGGUUUGAUUUCGGAGAGGGAGCCUGAGAAACGGCUACCACAUCUACGGAUGGCAGCAGGCGCGCAAAUUACCCAAUGCAGACACUGUGAGGUAGUGACGAGAAAUAAUAAAGCGGGACUUCUGUUUCGCUAUUAUAAUGAGGAAUAACCAAAGGUCAUUCCGAUUAGCAA
rnacentral:rRNA from 1 species